UACGGGAGGCAGCAGGGGGAAUAUUGCACAAUGGGCGCAAGCCUGAUGCAGCCAUGCCGCGUGUAUGAAGAAGGCCUUCGGGUUGUAAAGUACUUUCAGUCGUGAGGAAGGUGUUAAGGUUAAUAACCUUAGCAAUUGACGUUAGCGACAGAAGAAGCACCGGCUAACUCCGUGCCAGCAGCCGCGGUAAUACGGAGGGUGCGAGCGUUAAUCGGAAUUACUGGGCGUAAAGGGCACGCAGGCGGUUAAUUAAGUUGGAUGUGAAAUCCCCGGGCUUAACCUGGGAAUGGCAUUCAAGCUGGUUAGCUAGAGUCUUGUAGAGGGGGUAGAAUUCCAUGUGUAGCGGUGAAAUGCGUAGAGAUGUGGAGGAAUACCGGUGGCGAAGGCGGCCCCUGGACAAAGGCUGACGCUCAUGUGCGAAAGCGUGGGGAGCAAACG
rnacentral:rRNA from 1 species